rnacentral:ncRNA from 1 species
CGCUCAAGACCCGAAGCGGAGUGAUCUAGCCAUGGGCAGGUUGAAGCGAGGUAAGACUUCGUGGACGGACGAACCCACCACGGGUUGAAAACCUCGGGGAGUGACCUGUGUUACGGGGUGAAAGGCCGAAUCAAACUCCGUGAUAGCUGGUUCUCCCCGAAAUGCAUUUAGGUGCAGCGUCGUGUGUUUCUUGCCGGAGGUAGAGCACUGGAUAGGCGAUGGGCCCUACCGGGUUACUGACCUUAGCCAAACUCCGAAUGCCGGUAAGUGAGAGCGCGGCAGUGAGACUGUGGGGGAUAAGCUCCAUGGUCGAGAGGGAAACAGCCCAGAGCAUCGACUAAGGCCCCUAAGCGUACGCUAAGUGGGAAAGGAUGUGGAGUCGCACAGACAACCAGGAGGUUGGCUUAGAAGCAGCCACCCUUGAAAGAGUGCGUAAUAGCUCACUGGUCU